AGAAAUUAUUAAUUUCCAUUGUUGUUAUUUAUUUUAUAAGAAUAUAAUUUUUAUUUUUAUUUUAGGAAAAAUUUAAAAUUUCUCGUGUGAUUUCGCACUUUCUUAUUUUCGUACUCUAUGGUUUAAAGUGUACGAAGUUAAUACUCUAUGAUUUCGCACUUUUUCACUUUAGUACCAUGUGGUUUCAAAUGUACCAAGUUAGUACCUUGUGGUUUUAUUUGUGUAUCAAAUUAGUACAUUGUGGUUUCAAUUUUAUCUUUUUAUUAUCCAUUUUGGGGUAUCUAAUUUAACAAAAUAUUAAACCACAAGGUACUAAAAUGAGAAAGUGCGAAGCAAUAGGGUGCUAACUUGAUACACUUUAAACCACAUGGUAUUAAAGUGAAAAAGUGCGAAACUACAGGAGGAAUAUUUGAAAUUUUCCCUUUAUUUUAUUAAAGAAUAAUUAAAUUUAUUUAUUAGUUCAAUCUAACUUUGAAUUUGGGAUUGACUCGUUCCAAAAUAAACUAUUCAAAAUUCUUUCACAUAAACACCUCCCUCUCAUUACUUCAUCAUCACUCUCCUCUCUCAUCAUUAAAACCCUCUCUUAAAAUUCUAAAUUUUUAUUUCAAUAACUAAUCAAAUAUUUUUGAAUAAUUCGUUAUUUCAUUUCUCAUUUCUAUUCGAAUCAUGGACCAAACAUGCCCUUAGAGCUUAUUUGGUUCAUCUAUUUUAAAAUAUAAAAUCAAAUAAAAUUUAUUGAUUCUGAUAGUAAUUAUUUGAUUUAUAGAAAUCAAAUUCUAAUUUUCAUUAUAAUUUGGAAUUAAAAUAACCCUAUCCAUUUAUGGCUCAAUCCGACUUUUAAUUCCACAUUAACUCGUUCCAAAAUAAAUAACUCAAAGCUCUCUCUCAUAAACAACUCCCCCGUUUCUUUUUUUUUUCGCUCUUCUUUUUCUUAACCAAAACUUUUUCUUAAAAGUUUAGAUGUUCAUUUCAAUUUUUAUUCUAAUAAUGAACCAAAUAUUUUUGAAUAAUUUAUCAUUCUAUUUUUCAUUCUAAUACCAUCCAGUUCUAUUUGUCAAUAUAUUCCAAUUAUAAGCCAAAUAUACCCUAAUUUUUUCAUUAGAUAGAAAUUAUUCACUACUUUUCUUCCAUAAAUUAUCAUUA
rnacentral:lncRNA from 1 species